AUUACCUUAUAUUUUUAGAUUAUAGAUUAUAAGGAUUAACUUUAUGGCUAGUAUAUAAAGAGACUAUUAUAGAAUAAUAAAAGGCUGUAUAUUAAACCAUUAGUACCGUAAAAAUGAUGGACUAGUUUCAUUUAUUAGGGAAAAGGGUAGAAGAAUUUCUAUAAAAAAAAACGAAGUGAAUUGAAGUAUCUUAUUAGCUUCAGGAAAAUAAAUCAAACGAGAUUCUAUUAGUAGUGUGAAUGAAAAUAGAUAUAGGCUUAAAGUAAAAUGGAUUAAUCUGUUUGAAUAUAGGGGAACCUUCCUCUAAGCCUUAAUAUAAUAUACAAGAAAUAGAGAAUAGUACUGUGAAGGAAGUAUGUAAAAUAGUAGUCUUAUAAGCAGCUCAAGGUAAGUUUAAUAAACAUAUGAGAGCGUACCUUUUGUAUAAUGGGUCAGCAAGUUCUAGUUAGAUGCAAGCAAGUAGUGAUUAGUGGUGAUAGAUUAAAUUUAAGAAAUUAAAUUGAAGAAACAUAAUUUUAAUACACAAAAAAGAAUCAAUUUGCCUAGAUAAUCCAAUUAUUAAGUAAUGAAUUAGUAUCUAAUUAGAGACCCGAAGAGUAGUGAUCUUACCAUGGUCAGGCUUAUAAAAGGCCGAAUGGGUUAUCGUUGUAAAGAUAUCCAAAGAACUGUGGUAAGUUAGUGAAAGACAAUCCUGACUACUAUAGCUGGUUUUCCGCGAAACAUAUGUAAGUAUGUAGUUUAAAUAACAUCAUAGCAGGUACAGAACUGUGAUCUCGGACAAUUUGUGCAUUAAUAUCCUAUUAGGGUAUAUAAUGCCUUGUGCAUAUGGGGGGGUCGUGAAGACUCUAUUCGCGAGUAUUUGCUCUCGGAAGGGCAAUGAUGAGUGUUGAACUAUCAGACAUUUAACGAUAAGGUUGUGUGUCAAAAGGGAAACAGCCCAGAACAAGUGUUUAAGGUUCCAAAGUUUUUGUUAAGUGAAAGUAAGGAAGUAUUUAAACUAUACAACCAGGAAAUAGGCUUAGAAGCGGCCAUUUUUUAAAGACCUCGUAACAGAGCACUGGUUCAAAUGGUUAAUUCGUUAACCUAAUUAGUUAAAAGCGCCGAAGAUAUAACGGAUCUAAAACAAAACACCGACACCUUGUCCAUAAUAAUUAUAUUAGGUAUAAUCCUAGUUUACUAUACUUAAAGGUUAUUUAAGUAUUAUUUAUGGGGUAGCGGAACAUUGGGUAAAUAGGUUUUAAAUAGAUAGUACUCCUUCGGUUCUAAAUAGAUAGAACUUACCUCUUUCCCAAGUGAGAGAAGGUUGGUCUUUUAUUAAUUUAUAAUAACUGACUAUACAGGAUAAUUUAUAGUUACGUCUAUUUCAUAAUUACAUUUGUAAUUUGCUCGCUAUAUAGCGGGUUACCGUACAUAUCCCAAGUGAGAAUGCUGACACGAGUAACGAAAAAGAGAACUUAGUAUUACACUACUAUGUAAAAUGUUCUCUCGCCUUAAGCUUAUGGGAAAGUUAAUCGGUCUCUAAAUUAAACCUAAAGGAUAAAAUGAUGAGGAGAUUAUAUGUGACAACAUAAAGAAAUGGAGUAAAAUGUUCUGGAAAAGCAUAUAAUAUACAAGAAAGGAGCAAUGAGGAAAUGGAGAAAUUGUUCUAGGUUAUAAACUAAAAAGAAGAUACUACUUCCUUGUAUAUACUAAAACCGUACCUAAAAACUACCACAAGUAAGCUAGUAGAGAAUACGAAGGCGUUUGAGCUAACAAUCAUUAAGGAACUCGGCAAAUUGACACCGUAACUGAGGGAGAAGGUGUGCCAUUCCUACUGAUUAAUAUCAGUUUAGGAAGAGGAGACAUAAAAUGGUGUUGCACGACUGUUUAAUUAAAACACAGCACUUUGCGUAAGAUGUAAAUCAAUGUAUAGAGUGCGCUAUCUGCCCAAUGAUGGCUGGUUAACGGAUUUACUUAGACGACUAAAAUAGGCUAGGUUUUGAAGGAACCCCCAUUUAAUGGCGGCCUUACCUAUGAGGGUCCUAAGGUAGCGAAAUACCUUGGCAUUUAAAUGAUGUCGCGCAUGAAUGAUCUCACGAUGCAACAGCUGUCUCAAUGAUUGGCUCAGUGAAACUGGAAUGGCAGUGAAGAUACUGCCUAUCUCUAGAUAGACGAGAAGACCCCAUGCAGCUUUACUGUUACUAGUUAUAGGGUAUAAUUUAACAGGUUUUAGGGAAUAAGGUAGUUGAGCGACAAAAUUGAAACACCUUUACUCUGGUUGUUAUAUCAGUAGAAUAGGUUACAUUAUUGUAACUGACGUCUGAAUGUAAUCCAUAAAAGGAGGGAGAUUAUAUCAAGCUCAGGAGACAAUGGCUAGCAGAUGGUUUAUGCGGGGCACAGAUCCCAUAAAGAGUACCUGGGAGUAUCCAAAUUUAUUUUUGUAAUAUGCUAUACGCAAAUUAUAUAGGGCUUUUAUUAAAUAAUUGCCUUGUAUAUUUUAAUUUUUUAAUUACUAUAUUUACUUUGUUAUUUUUUAUAUUUACAAUUUUUUUUUAAAAAUGGUAUCUAUAACUAAUUCAGUUAUAUUUCUAUUUAAGUUAGAACUAAAACAAUUUAAUAUAAGUAAGAUUUUACCUAUGUGGAAAAUAGGUGUAUAUAUAGUAUUAAUAAUUACUAUCUAAUUGUAAAAGAAGAUAUAAUUAUAACACUAUUAGUUAUUUUUUUUUACAGAAUAUCUGUAUAAGAAAUGAUGUUGAUAUAUACUUCCAAAGUUUAAUGGCUUAAUCUUGCUUUACUGUUUGACAUACACGUCUAUCAGUUGCGUAAGCAGGGCAUAAAGACCGCAAGACGCAGUAAGGAAAGGUCUUGUAUUAUUGAAAAAGCUACGCUGGGGAUAACAGGCUAAUUGCGCCAGAGAGUACAAAUUGAGUGCGCAGUUUGGCACCUCGAUGUCGGCUUAGCUCAUCCACAUGAAUGCAGGAAUCAUGAAGGGUACGACUGUUCGUCGAUUAAAGAGCUACACGAGCUGGGUUAAAUACGUCGUGAGACAGUAUGGUUUCUAUCUUCUAGAGGAAAUUGGAGUAAAAUAAGGAUAGCCCCUUCGUACGAAAGGAGUUGGGUAUGGUAACCUAUGGUUUACCUGUUGUUUAUGCGCUUAAUAUUAACCUGAUAAAUUACGGCAAGAAUAGGUUCUCCUUAAUAAUGAAGACGGGAAUCUCCUAAGAAGGAGAGUAAUAUAGAUAGAUUCAUGUGAAUUUAUUACCUAUUUGAGCUAUAGAUGGUAAUACUUUUAUACUCAAGUAUUUAUACAUAGUAUAGGCAUGGCAGGAAAGCUAUGUUAGUUAAGAUAAGUGCUGAAUGCAUCUAGGCACGAAGCUUACCUUAGGAUACUCUUAGAAACGUAGUAUAACAUUACGAAAACCCAUUUUCUGGGGUUAUAGGCUUUGGCUGAAAGGGCUUUGAUGUUCUUAGGUAUAAAGUACUAAUUUUUAUCAUUAA
rnacentral:rRNA from 1 species